GUCUUUUUGAGUUAUUUUUAAAGUCUGACCUGCCCACUGAUGUAAAUUUAAAUGGCCGCAGUAUUUUAACUGUGCAAAGGUAGCAUAAUCAUUAGUCUUUUAAUUGAAGGCUGGUAUGAACGGUUGGACGAAGUAUAAGCUGUUUCAUAUAAAUUUAUAUUAGAAUUUUAUAUUUUAGUUAAAAAGCUAAGAUUUUAAUAAAAGACGAGAAGACCCUAUAAAUCUUUAUAUUUAAGUUUAUUUAAAUUUUAUAGAUUUGUUUUAUUUUUAUAAAUUUAAAUAUUUUAUUGGGGUGAUAUUAAAAUUUAAUAAACUUUUAUUAAUAAGUAAAAUCAUUAAUUUAUGAUUCAUUGAUCCAUUAUUAGUGAUUAAAAAAUUAAGUUACUUUAGGGAUAACAGCGUAAUUUUUUUUGAGAGUUCAUAUCGAUAAAAAAGUUUGCGACCUCGAUGUUGGAUUAAGGUAUAUUUUUAGGUGUAGCUGCUUAAAGGUUAAGUCUGUUCGACUUUUAAUUUCUU
rnacentral:rRNA from 1 species